rnacentral:rRNA from 1 species
AUGCGCUUUCGGUGGAGGAAAACGUAUUCGUCAGAAUACGUUUUCACUUAUCCACCUCAACAGUUCGGGUCAACGCGGGGACUUACAGGCGGGGCCCGCCACUUAUCCAUGUGGAUAGGGCCGGGUCAGCGCCGGAGUGGCUGCCAGGUGGGGUCGGGGAAAGGAGGGGGCCCGCCUGGCCUCGUCUCCUUCCCCUACCUCCCGCUCGCCCGCGAAGGCAGAGGACGACCGCGGCUGCCGGCGCCCGUUCCGGCGACCUGGGACGUCUCCGGCGAGGCCCAGCACACCGGCGAGAUCGGGAAGACGAGCUGCUCCCGCCUGGAGCAGAAGCAGGCGCCGGGGAGGGGUGUGGCCGUAGCACCGCGUGGUGGCAGAGAACCCAUGACGGCGGCCGGACUAGGGAACUCGCGGCUACGAGCACUCCGGCGCCGAACUGAGGGGUGCGGGAGGGGCUCCGGACUACGGGGAAUCCUCUGGUGGUGGUAG